GACCACUCAAGCCUAGCUUGGUAUUGGGGCACGCGGUUCCGCGGCCCUCAAAAUCAGUGGCGGCGCCGGUGGGCUCUAAGCGUAGUACAUACUCCCGCUAUAGAGUUCCCCCGGUGGUUCGCCAGAACCCCCAAUCUUUACA
rnacentral:misc_RNA from 1 species